UACUACUAUUGCCAAAUUCAUCUUUGUCUCUUUGCUUGCAUUAUUCAUUUUACUUUCAUACCAUGUUCCUUGAGUUUUUUUAGUAAUGUUAAUACAAACUAUGACUUUAAUUUUUAAUUAAUGCAUGUAAAUAAUGGAAGUACUAAAGGUCCCCUGUUGUAAUAUAUAUAUAUAUAUGGUAGUCCACAUUCUACUUCUACUUCAUCAAUAGUUACUAGUGCUACACUAGUGUAACAUCCUUACAGUUUGACUCAUUACAAAUCGACGGAGUCACUACACCAAAUAUCUCAUUAUGUGUUUUGAGAUCUUUGUAUAUAUCUGGGUUGAAGAUAGAUUCAAAUCAUUGGACUAAUCAUUUUCCUCUAUUUGUGUGAGUGUUUGUUCUUCUGUGAGAUUUAAUGGCUAGAACCUGAUUCAAUACCCUCAUCAUCUCACACACAUCUCUUCUCCACUACCAUUUUCUUUUGGUCAGCAACCCACCAUCACCCUCAUCAUUCUCCAUCUUAGUCACGGCACCCGCACCACUCCCAGCCACCCCCAAGCCCCUGCUCUCCGCCUCUGUUAUGUUGCACUUGCAUUCACCCACCACCACCACCAGUCCCUCCUCCUCUCUCUCUCCCCCUAUGUAACGAUCUGAGCCCAAGAGUAUUCUUGGAUCUGUGGGGUUAUUUCCAUCGAAGAAGACAAAAAUUCAGAUAUUUAAAGAUGUCAGUGGAAGAGUCAAACCUUCCAGGAUGACUCUACUUCUAGGCCCUCCAGGAGCAGGGAAAAUGAUCUUGUUGCUGGCGCUUGCUGGAAAGCUUGAUCAAGAUUUGAGGGUUUGGCUUGAUUUUUAAUUUAUAAUCAAUUUUAGUUAAUAAUUGCUUACUUUUACACAUAUUACUUUUUCAGUUUAUUAAUUCUAAACAGAAAAUCUAGUGUUGAAGGAUUUCAAUAUUGACAAUGAGGCUGGUGGAGUUGGUAAAGAAAUUAUAAAAGGCUUUACUGCCACUGUUAGUAGUAACACCCUUGAAAUUUGAUUCUAUUGGGCUGGGAAAGGAACCGUUGCUAUUCCUCUAAGAGGAGUUUAUGGUCCUCUCAUAUCAGCAAUUUAUGUCGAUCCUGUCAAUUUUGCUCGAAUUGUUCUUGAUGGGCUACUUGAAUUCUUUCCAUCUUACUACCUUUUGGACCAAUGCAUUGGGUGCUGGAAGAAAACGAGUCAUGCAAAUUCAACAACAUUAUGGGAAAGAAUCUGCAGGCAUAAGAAACCUGUUGUAGAACCUAGAAAAUCUUCUUUGUUUUCUAAGUCAAUUGAGGUUACUUACAUUAGUUCCAAGCAC